rnacentral:rRNA from 1 species
GACGAACGCUGGCGGCGUGCCUAAUACAUGCAAGUCGAACGCACAGUUUAUACCGUAGCUUGCUACACCAUAGACUGUGAGUUGCGAACGGGUGAGUAACGCGUAGGUAACCUGCCUGGUAGCGGGGGAUAACUAUUGGAAACGAUAGCUAAUACCGCAUAAUAUUAAUUAUUGCAUGAUAAUUAAUUGAAAGGUGCAAUUGCACCACUACCAGAUGGACCUGCGUUGUAUUAGCUAGUAGGUGAGGUAACGGCUCACCUAGGCGACGAUACAUAGCCGACCUGAGAGGGUGAUCGGCCACACUGGGACUGAGACACGGCCCAGACUCCUACGGGAGGCAGCAGUAGGGAAUCUUCGGCAAUGGACGAAAGUCUGACCGAGCAACGCCGCGUGAGUGAAGAAGGUUUUCGGAUCGUAAAGCUCGGUUGUAAGAGAAGAACGGGUGUGAGAGUGGAAAGUUCACACUGUGACGGUAUCUUACCAGAAAGGUACGGCUAACUACGUG